GCGUCGCUUCCACCGCCACCGCCUGCGGGCAAUUGUCGCUCCGCCUCGCUUUUGGCUCGUGCACCCCGGCCUCUUCUUCGGGCCCCGGGAAGGAUGGGGUGCAGGGGCCCGGCCGGUAGGGCGCCCCGCACGGUCACUGGGCUCCCCACGCAGUGCAGCGACCGCGAGGACUAGGGAAUCCCCAAGCUGCCCCCCGUGCAUCUCCGGGCGGGCGCCCCGGCCCCGGCACGAUCAGAAUAAAUGGGUUGAGAGGCUCGACCCGCGGGGACUCUGGCCUUGUUGAGUGAAGGACCCAAACGUGGAAUUGCUGAUGACAAAGGUGGACCUGUGAGGCCACAGCUUUACCUAUAAUAACCAGGACCCAGCACAAUCCAGUCAGCCGGAUACAUUCGCGGCAGAAGUUGUGGCCACAGGUGGUCAUCACGGGGUCGGUGAAGUAGUCGAGGCAGAUGGAGCACGUGGCCUCCUCCUGCAGCUUUCUGGCAAGUUCCACACAGGAAUCUUGCUAGAUCAGUUUGGCAAGAAGAUGUCUCUUCCUAGUGAUUUUCCAUCACCGACCCCUCGCCCGGCUCUUGG